rnacentral:rRNA from 1 species
UGGGAAAUCUUGCACAAUGGGGGAAACCCUGAUGCAGCGACGCCGCGUGAGCGAUGAAGGUUUUCGAAUCGUAAAGCUCUGUCCUAUGGGAAGAUAAUGACGGUACCAUGGGAGGAAGCCCCGGCUAACUACGUGCCAGCAGCCGCGGUAAUACGUAGGGGGCGAGCGUUGUCAGGAAUUACUGGGCGUAAAGGGUUCGCAGGCGGCAUGGCAAGUCCGAUGUAAAAGGCGAAGGCUCAACCUUCGUAAGCAUCGGAAACUGUCAAGCUUGAGUGAAGGAGAGGCAAGUGGAAUUCCUAGUGUAGCGGUGGAAUGCGUAGAUAUUAGGAGGAAUACCGGUGGCGAAGGCGACUUGCUGGACUUCAACUGACGCUGAGGAACGAAAGCGUGGGUAGCAAACAGG